rnacentral:misc_RNA from 1 species
GAUGAAGAACGUAGCGAGAUGCGAUAAGUAAUGUGAAUUGCAGAAUUCAGUGAAUCAUCGAAUCUUUGAACGCACCUUGCGCCCUUUGGCUAUUCCGAAGGGCAUGCCUGUUUGAGUAUCAUGAACACCUCAACUCUUCACGGCUUGCCGUGAUGAGUUUGGACUUUGGGGGUCUUGCUGGCCUACGAGCCAGCUCCUCUCAAAUGUAUUAGCUUGCCGGUGUUUGGUGGCAUCACAGGUGUGAUAACUAUCUACGCUUGUGGUUUUCCACUAGGUAACCUUCAGCAAUGGAGGUUCACCGGAGCUCACAAAUGUCUCUCCUUGCCAAGGACAGAUUUUGACCAUUUGAUCUCAAAUCAGGUAGGACUACCCGCUGAACUUAAGCAUAUCAAUAAGCGGAGGA